rnacentral:rRNA from 1 species
UAGCCUUUAGCGACACAAGUAUUAAAGGUCUUGCCUGCCCAGUGAAACUUCUCUUUUCAACGGCCGCGGUAUUCUAACCGUGCAAAGGUAGCGUAAUCACUUGUCUUCCAAAUAAAGACCAGUAUGAACGGCUAAAUGAGGACAGACCUGUCUCCUACACCCAAUCAGUGAAACUGAUCUCCCAGUCCAAAAGCUGGAAUAUCAACAUUAGACGAGAAGACCCUGUGGAGCUUAAAACCCACCCAGUAACUACAAACUGACCAAAGUUUUAAGUUGGGGCGACUUCGGAACAAAACAAAACCUCCGAGCACAGAACCACCAAUUCUUACCAAGGCAAACAGGCCAAAGCAACAAUUGACCCAGUAAAACUGAUCAACGAACCAAGUUACCCCAGGGAUAACAGCGCCAUCCUCUUCAAGAGUCCAUAUCGACAAGAGGGUUUACGACCUCGAUGUUGGAUCAGGGCACCCAAAUGGUGCAGCCGCUAUUAAAGGUUCGUUUGUUCAACGAUUAACAGCC